rnacentral:rRNA from 1 species
AACGAACGCUGGCGGCAGGCUUAACACAUGCAAGUCGAGCGCACCUUCGGGUGAGCGGCGGACGGGUUAGUAACGCGUGGGAACAUACCCUUUGGUACGGAAUAGCCUCUGGAAACGGAGAGUAAUACCGUAUGAGCCCUUCGGGGGAAAGAUUUAUCGCCAAAGGAUUGGCCCGCGUUAGAUUAGGUAGUUGGUGGGGUAAUGGCCUACCAAGCCUACGAUCUAUAGCUGGUUUUAGAGGAUGAUCAGCAACACUGGGACUGAGACACGGCCCAGACUCCUACGGGAGGCAGCAGUGGGGAAUCUUGGACAAUGGGGGCAACCCUGAUCCAGCCAUGCCGCGUGAGUGAUGAAGGCCUUAGGGUCGUAAAGCUCUUUCGCCUGUGAAGAUAAUGACGGUAGCAGGUAAAGAAACCCCGGCUAACUCCG